GUGCUUGCUUCGGCAGCAUAUAUACUAAAAUUGGAACAAUACAGAGAAGAUUAGCAUAGUCCCUGCACAAGGGUGACAUGCAAAUUCGUGAAGCAUUCCAUAUAUUU